rnacentral:rRNA from 1 species
UACGGAGGAUCCAAGCGUUAUCCGGAAUCAUUGGGUUUAAAGGGUCCGUAGGCGGUUUUAUAAGUCAGUGGUGAAAUCCGGCAGCUCAACUGUCGAACUGCCAUUGAUACUGUAGGACUUGAAUUACUGUGAAGUAACUAGAAUAUGUAGUGUAGCGGUGAAAUGCUUAGAUAUUACAUGGAAUACCAAUUGCGAAGGCAGGUUACUAACAUUAUAUUGACGCUGAUGGACGAAAGCGUGGGGAGCGAACAGG